GCACAGGAAGGAGAGAAUUUGACCUAGACUGAUUUAAAAGCACCUCCACUGCUCCUCAGCUUCUCCAAUCUCCAAAUCCACAUAUGUAUUCAUUUCUUUUGUUUCCUUCCUUCUUCCUCCUCUCUCUGCCCCACCUACUAAGCAGACCAGCAAAGUAUUUUUCCCCUUAUUUAAAGAUUUUUAAGGUCCAUGUUACCAUUAUACCUGUUAUUUAUAGGCAAAAUAAAUGCAUCUACAACAACCAUUACAUCAGUUACUUAAUGGUAACUGCCGCUAUUUACAAUUAAGUAAUGGUAGCAAUCCAUUAGUUACAUGGCCUUCGACUUUUUUUCUUUUUUUUUUGAGUCCACAUGGAGGCAACAGCUCAUUUCACAUAGUUGUUUCUGGUUUAUGGGGAUUUAGGCUUCUGUUUCUCACAUCUCUCAACUUUCCAUCUAAAAUU
rnacentral:misc_RNA from 1 species